GACUAUGGUUGUGAUUAAUAUGAUUUAUCAUUAUUAUUAUAUUAUGUAAUUGUAAGGGGAUAAGACACUAUCGGUUAUCAGUUGGAUAAUUAAUUCUUCUUGUUCGGUCGUAUUUUUCUUCUCACGUGUAGGCUUCGAAUCUCGCGGUCUGGUGUGCACCUGCAAAAAGUUUUUUGAUGCGUAAGUGAGUAUUCUAUAUUUGGAUGUUGUUAUGUACUUAUUUAUACCGUUGUAAUCAGCUUUAUCAUUAAUAAGUUGUAUAACUCAAACUAAUCGUGUAUUCCUUUUUACCUUGAUGUAUUCACAUUAGUCAUUCGAGCAACAUCCGAUAUGGAGGGUUAUAAGAUCAAG
rnacentral:lncRNA from 1 species